rnacentral:rRNA from 1 species
UGGGGGGCCUUAUGGGAGGCAGCAGUGGGGAAUAUUGCACAAUGGGCGAAAGCCUGAUGCAGCGACGCCGCGUGAGGGAUGACGGCCUUCGGGUUGUAAACCUCUUUCAGUAGGGAAGAAGCGCAAGUGACGGUACCUGCAGAAGAAGCGCCGGCUAACUACGUGCCAGCAGCCGCGGUAAUACGUAGGGCGCAAGCGUUGUCCGGAAUUAUUGGGCGUAAAGAGCUCGUAGGCGGUUUGUCGCGUCCGCUGUGAAAGCCCGGGGCUCAACCCCGGGUCGGCAGUGGGUACGGGCAGACUAGAGUGCAGUAGGGGAGACUGGAAUUCCUGGUGUAGCGGUGAAAUGCGCAGAUAUCAGGAGGAACACCGAUGGCGAAGGCAGGUCUCUGGGCUGUUACUGACGCUGAGGAGCGAAAGCAUGGGGAGCGAACAGGAUUAGAUACCCUGGUAGUCCAUGCCGUAAACGUUGGGCACUAGGUGUGGGGGACAUUCCACGUCCUCCGCGCCGUAGCUAACGCAUUAAGUGCCCCGCCUGUA